rnacentral:rRNA from 1 species
UGGGGAAUAUUGGACAAUGGGCGCAAGCCUGAUCCAGCCAUGCCGCGUGAGUGAUGAAGGCCCUAGGGUUGUAAAGCUCUUUCACCGGUGAAGAUAAUGACGGUAACCGGAGAAGAAGCCCCGGCUAACUUCGUGCCAGCAGCCGCGGUAAUACGAAGGGGGCUAGCGUUGUUCGGAUUUACUGGGCGUAAAGCGCACGUAGGCGGACUUUUAAGUCAGGGGUGAAAUCCCGGGGCUCAACCCCGGAACUGCCUUUGACACUGGAAGUCUUGAGUAUGGUAGAGGUGAGUGGAAUUCCGAGUGUAGAGGUGAAAUUCGUAGAUAUUCGGAGGAACACCAGUGGCGAAGGCGGCUCACUGGACCAUUACUGACGCUGAGGUGCGAAAGCGUGGGGAGCAAACAGG